UACGUAGGGGCGAGCGUUGUCCGGAUUUAUUGGGCGUAAAGCGCGCGCAGGCGGUUCGUUAAGUCCGAUGUGAAAGCUCCCGGCUCAACUGGGAGAGGUCUUCGGAUACUGGCGAACUCGAGGGAGGCAGAGGAAGGUGGAAUUCCGGUGUAGUGGUGAAAUGCGUAGAGAUCCGGAGGAACACCAGUGGCGAAGGCGGCCUUCUGGGCCUUUCCUGACGCUGAGGCGCGAAGCGUGGGAGCGAACCGG
rnacentral:rRNA from 1 species